AUGGCGCGGCAGCGUACGCGCUCUGCCUCCGCGCUCGCGCUCGCCGUGGCGUUGGUCGUCGGAGUCUUGGCGUCCAUCCCUAUCGAGGUGGCAUCCAUCGGCGUGUGCAACGGGAUGAUAGGCGACAGCCAGUCCCUGCCGUCGCGGGCCGACGUGGUGCAGCUGUACAGGACCAAGGGCAUCAGCGCCAUGCGCAUCUACGCCCCGGACCCCGAGACGCUCCAGGCCCUCGGCGACACCGGCAUCGACCUCAUCAUGGACGUCGGCAACGGCAACCUUUCCGCCCUCGCCUCCGACCCCGGCUUGGCGGCGUCCUGGGUCCAGGAAAACGUGCUGGCCUACCCGCGGGUCAGCAUCAAGUAUAUCGCGGCCGGCAACGAGGUGGAAGGCGGCGACACGCAGAACAUCGUCCCGGCCAUGACGAACCUCAACGCCGCGCUCUCCAAGGCCAGCCGCCCUGACGUGAAGGUGUCCACGGCUGUCAAGAUGAGCGUGCUCGCGUCCUCCUCGCCUCCCUCCAGCGGCGUGUUCAAAGACGCGUACAUGACGGAGGUGGCCCAGCUGCUCAAGGACACCAGCGCGCCGCUGCUCGCCAACGUGUACCCCUACAUCGCCAAAAGGGACACCCCGACCAUCGACCUCAGCUUCGCGCUCUUCCAGCCGAGCCCCAACCCGGUGAACGACAACGGCCUCACCUACACCAACCUCUUCGACGCCAUGGUCGACGCGAUGUACACGGCCAUGGAGCAGGCGGGCGCGUCGGCCGUGCCCAUCGUGGUCUCGGAGAGCGGGUGGCCGUCGGCCGGCGACGACCUGGCAACCCCCACUAACGCGCAGGCGUACAACCAGAACCUGAUCGACCACGUCGGCAAAGGUACGCCCAAGAGGGCCGGGCCCCUGGAGACGUACAUCUUCGCCAUGUUCAACGAGAACCGAAAGGACGGGCCCGAGACAGAGAGGAACUUUGGACUGUUCAACGGACCCGACAAGACGCCGGUGUACCCUAUAAACUUCACCAAUUAG
rnacentral:rRNA from 1 species